rnacentral:rRNA from 1 species
CCGCGGUAAUUCCAGCUCCAAUAGCGUAUAUUAAAGUUGUUGCAGUUAAAAAGCUCGUAAUUGAAUUUCGGGAUCAAUAUAUUGGUCGUGCCUCCGGUAUGCACUGGUAUCAUUGAUUUCUACCUUCUGACGAACUGUGAUGUCAUUAAUUUGGUGUCAUGGGGAAUCAGGACUGUUACUUUGAAAAAAUUAGAGUGUUUAAAGCAGGCACACGCUUGAAUACAUUAGCAUGGAAUAAUGAAAUAGGACGUUUGACCCUAUUUUGUUGGUUUCUAGGAUCGACGUAAUGAUUAAUAGGGAUAGUUGGGGGCAUUAGUAUUC